rnacentral:lncRNA from 1 species
GGCGGAAGUCGGCGGCACUCGGGCGGGCCUGGGUCCCCGCGCCCGGCCCGGUCCGUCCGGCGGCCGCCGCCAUGUGGUGUCUGCACUGCCACUCCGAGAGGACGCAGUCGCUGCUGGAGCUGGAGCUGGACAGCGGUCACGCAGCACAUUUACUGAGCACCUGCUGUGCCAGGCCCUGGGCCAGUAGAGGGACCAAGUUUAAUUUGAGCUGGAGGCCCCCAUGCGGAACCACGGAAGAGUCGCCUCCCUGUGUGUAAAGAUGGGAAACUAUGACAGCUUUUGCUUUUUCCUCUUUGUUCAAAGGUCAGUGCAAUAAUAAUGACAGCGGUGGCCACCAUGCAGCCACGUCUGUGUGAGUCUUAAUUCUCAGUGUGAUUUGUGAGUAAGGUCUUCUGUUACCCCGUGUUUCAGAUGGGGAACGUUCCCCUUGGUCACUGCUCCCAAGGGCUGGAGCUGGGAUCUGCCUGGCUUCAGGGUCUGCGUCCUUCACAGUCAGGCUCUGCUUCCCAUGGGGGUAAAAGUCAUCUUCGGUAAAAUAUAUCACCAUCAUAGGGUCUGAUGUCCCCUGGUGUCCAGAUCCUAAAGUGUUCCCACAUGUGCCAGCCUGUGCCCUGGUGGUUGGCCCCACACCGGGCCCUCCUGGACCCACACACUCACCUUCGUCCCACGUGCAGUCCUUGCCCAGACUGUCGCACGGAGCCUUGGGGACAAAAGCGGACUGUCCCUGACUUGCUGAUGGGCAUCAGCAUGGUUAGGAAGCCCAAGGCCAGGUCUUUUGAUGUUACUGGAGGACCCGUCUGUGAGGGCCCUGAACUUAAUCC